GUCUUCCGGAGCCUCCGGUCGCGGGUCUAAGAGGACUAGGGCGGGAGCGGCGCGGAAGAAAGAGAGGACUGCGUUUUGGGGCGUUCUGUCAGAGGGGAAGGACGUGUGGAUUGGAGUCAGACUGCACUCCCGCCCUAUUUCUGCAAGUAGAACUCACUGCCUUUAGAAACGGUCUUCUGAGGCUCUGUUGGGAGGCUCUAACUGUAUUACAGAGGACACAUUUUUGUUUGUUUUUAUGUGAAACAUUCAGAAGUUGCUUGCAUCAAGUGCUUUACAAGUACACUGGUUUUCAAACUUUUAAAGUUGAGGAACUGUUUUGAUUUUUGUAAAAAUAGAACUUUACUUGGAAGCCCAAGGGAGGCAAAGGGAGAUUUGACAAAGAAGGCGGCAAUGGGACUACUGAAACAAAAUGCUAGGCUGCUGGCUUUGAAGAUCAGACUAGGGACCAAAAGUAAAGGAACGCAAGCAUUUCAUUCAAGCUCUAAAAGCCAGAAAAGGCAAGAAAAACCUUCAGAAGGGAGAGUGACCAUAAUAA
rnacentral:lncRNA from 1 species